rnacentral:rRNA from 1 species
GCACCGGCUAACUACGUGCCAGCAGCCGCGGUAAUACGUAGGGUGCGAGCGUUGUCCGGAAUUACUGGGCGUAAAGAGCUCGUAGGUGGUUUGUCGCGUCGUUUGUGUAAGUCCACGGCUUAACUGUGGGACUGCAGGCGAUACGGGCAUAACUUGAGUGCUGUAGGGGAGACUGGAAUUCCUGGUGUAGCGGUGAAAUGCGCAGAUAUCAGGAGGAACACCGAUGGCGAAGGCAGGUCUCUGGGCAGUAACUGACGCUGAGGAGCGAAAGCAUGGGUAGCGAACAGGAUUAGAUACCCUGGUAGUCCACGCUGUAAACGAUGAGUGCAAGGUGUUGGGGGUCAAACCUCGGUGCCGCCGUUAACACAGUAAGCACUCCGCCUGGGGAGUACGUACGCA